UACGGAGGGUGCAAGCGUUGUCCGGAAUCACUGGGCGUAAAGCGUGCGUAGGCGGUGUCUUAAGUUUGUUGUGAAAUCUCCCGGCUUAACCGGGAGGGUGCGGCGAAUACUGAGAUGCUGGAGUGCCGGAGAGGUAAGCGGAAUUCCGCGUGUAGCAGUGAAAUGCGUAGAUAUGCGGAGGAACACCGAUGGCGAAGGCAAUCCCCUGGGCCUGCACUGACGCUCAUGCACGAAAGCGUGGGGAGCAAACAGG
rnacentral:rRNA from 1 species